UACGAAGGGGGCAAGCGUUGUUCGGAAUUACUGGGCGUAAAGGGCGCGUAGGCGGUGCGCUAAGUCAGAUGUGAAAGCCCUGGGCUUAACCCGGGAACUGCAUUUGAUACUGGCGCGCUCGAAUCCGGGAGAGGUUGGUGGAAUUCCCAGUGUAGAGGUGAAAUUCGUAGAGAUUGGGAAGAACCCCGGUGGCGAAGGCGGCCAACUGGACCGGUAUUGACGCUGAGGCGCGAAAGCGUGGGGAGCAAACAGG
rnacentral:rRNA from 1 species